rnacentral:lncRNA from 1 species
AAAUCAUAAUUUUUCAACCGUAGAAUCCACGUCCAUAGCCUCCGAAUCCACGACCGUAUCCACCGUAGCCACGGCCGAAGCCUCCACCAUAUCCGCGGCCAAAGCCGCCGUAGCCGCCGUAGCCCCUUCCGAAUCCUCCACGUCCGAAGCCGAACUGGGCGGCUGCCAUGCUGCAGACGACUGCCAGAACCAGGAGGGCGAGGAGGAAGGACUUGCUGCUCACGACAAUCAUUGC